AUAGAGGUGAAAGCGGGGGAGAAGUUGGUGGAGUUCUUGGUGGGGGCAUUGGUGGUGCACGAGGAGGAGAACUCGGUGGAGUUCUUGGGGGAGAUAUUGGUGGUGCACGCGGAGGAGAAGUUGGUGGAGUUCUUGGCGGGGAUAGAGGUGGUGCACGCGGAGGAGAAGUUGGUGGAGUUAUAGGGGGAGAUAGCGGUGGUGUACGUGGAGGAGAAGUUGGUGGAGUUCUUGGCGGGGAUAGUGGUGGGGCACGUGGAGGAGCUGUCGGUGAAAUUCUUGGAGGAGGAACUGGUGGUGCUCGUGGAGGAGAAGUUGGUGGAGUUCUUGGAGGAGAAUUUGGUGGAGUUCUUGGCGGGGAUAGUGGUGGUGCACGAGGAGGAGAAGUCGGUGGAGUAUUAGGAGGAGGAACCGGUGGUGCACGUGGAGGAGAAGUUGGUGGAGUUCUUGGCGGGGAUAGUGGUGGUGCACGGGGAGGAGAAGUCGAUGGAGUUCUUGGAGGAGGAAUUGGUGGUGCACGUGGAGGAGAAGUUGGUGGAGUUCUUGGAGGAGAUAGUGGUGGUACACGCGGAG
rnacentral:lncRNA from 1 species